CAAAACCUGUUGUGUUAGAAGUGGCUGGCUAGCCAUUAGCUAGCGAGCUAAGAAUCGCUAACAUUUGCAGAGUUAGCUUUUUCAAUAGCUAACUUCACGAUUAUGUGCAAUAUCUGGAAUGGUAGUUAAUAUCAUAUCCAACAAUACGUCUGUGUAAGAUGUCGUUGUGAAUGUAGUUUUAGUUUGAAUGAAAUAUCAGGCGCAAGUAACGUUUACGUUAGCUAUCUUUAAAGUGGCUGAUUGUAGCCAUGCAGGCUAACAUUAGCUAAGUUAACAUUGCAGACACAGAUGAGAGUUGUUAACGUUACUUUCCUAACUAAUGUGACUUUUAAGAAUUGUCAUGGGACAUAGGCUUAGGUAGAUAACUUAAUUUAAAUUUGAUAAACAGUAGUGCCGAUACAAAGGGAAAGAGGACCAGUAAAACUAAUGAAUGUAGUAAUUUAUCUCCCACCUUAACCUUAACUAAACUGCAGUUUAGUAUGGCCAUUGUCAUUAACAGACGUGUCAAGGAUGUGAAUGGGGGUAUGAUGCACUUUAGGUUGUGAAGGGUAGUGUUUGGCUUCAUGUUCUUCAUUUCAUAGCCCUUAUUUAUCCCUUGUUUGAUAUACCUAAUCUCCGCCGAACUGUGUGUUUAUUUAAAAUGCAUAUGAGUGUAGUAGUGCUUCAGUGAUGAUCUUUUUAUCUUCUGUGUGUUUUGCAACUUAUUAAUCUUAGUCUCCCUCUGUUCCCUCUGUUUACAGACAUUGCAUUGUGAGGACUGGUGCCCUGGGAACACUGAGCGCAUUCUCGAAAAUUCCAUAUUUGUGCCACUUCCAUACGAAGACAGCCCAGAAUAAUUGGGCUCCAUCAACCAUCCCGGGUAAAGUCGGUCUGUCCUGAUUGCACUACUUGCUAAUUGAUGACGUCUAGAAGCCAUAGCUGCUUCCCUCAACGUGGCAGCCCUCACAAAUAAACUGAUACCAGGAAUUAACAUACAGUAGAUGGUGAUGGUGGUGGUGGUGGCAAGGGUGCCUUCACAAGGUGCCAUGUCACAAUCUCAGUGUGGAGCCAAAGGCUGCUAUUGCAAGUCAGAUGGGGGACGAUCGAUGUAAGGCAUCAGAAAGGUGGUGUACGUACAAAGGCUGGAGCUGCUGGAGACAGUGUUGCACUUAGAUACUUGAUUUACUGCCGAAGGUACCAUCAGAGCACCACCCUACCCCUGCAGGACCAGAAGAAGACGGACAGGGGGCCAACAUUUUUUAACACUCUGACCAUGGACUAUUUAAACCAUUGAGGUAACGCAGACGUCUGAUCCCACUUGGCUAAAACAGAAGCCUGAGGAGGAGUUUCUUUCCUCAUGCCAUUCGCAUCCUGAGCACACAUACUACAUUACAUGGACUUGCCAUACUGCACUUACACACUGCACUAUU